UCGGGAAUUUUGGGCAAUGGGCGAAAGCCUGACCCAGCAACGCCGCGUGAGGGAUGAAGUAUUUCGGUAUGUAAACCUCGAAAGAAUGGGAAGAAUAAAUGACGGUACCAUUUAUAAGCUCCGGCUAACUACGUGCCAGCAGCCGCGGUAAUACGUAGGGAGCAAGAGUUGUUCGGAUUUACUGGGCGUAAAGGGCGCGUAGGCGGCGCGGUAAGUCACUUGUGAAAUCUCUGAGCUUAACUCAGAACGGCCAAGUGAUACUGCUGCGCUAGAGUGCGGAAGAGGCGACCGGAAUUCUUGGGGUAGCGGUGAAAUGCGUAGAGAUCAAGAGGAACACCGGGGGCGAAGGCGGGUUGCUGGGCCGACACUGACGCUGAUGCGCGAAAGCCAGGGGAGCAAACG
rnacentral:rRNA from 1 species